UCAAAAAAAUCAGAAUUUAAUUAAAGAAAAUCAAAACUUAAGUGAAGAAGUUAACCAACUGAAAUCUUUUAUUAACAAAUUCACUGUAAGUUCAGAAAGAUUAAAAACAAUGUUUGAAAGCCAACAUGCUGUUUUUGAUAAAUCAAGACUUGGCUGGAUUCCUUUGCUCAACAAUAAACUCCUAAAGAAAAAGGUUAUCAAUUCGCCAAGCAAACCAUCAAAUAAGAUAACUUAUUUCAAAUAUAAAAAGAUUGGGCAUAAAAACUUUACCUAUGGUUCUAAUACGAAUAAAUCAAAUGGUAAAGUUAUUA
rnacentral:lncRNA from 1 species